rnacentral:rRNA from 1 species
UACAGAGGAGCCAAGCGUUGUCCGGAUUGACUGGGCGUAAAGCGCACGCAGGCGGGUGCGCGCGUGGGGUGUGAAAUCUGGCCGCUUAACGGCCAGGCGCCAUCCCAUACGGCGCGCCUGGAGCCUUGCAGAGGGCGGUGGAAUUGCCGGUGUAGUGGGUGAAAUGCGUAGAGAUCGGCAGGAACACCCAGGGGGAAACCAGCCGCCUGGGCAAGCGCUGACGCUGAGGUGCGAGAGCGUGGGGGAGCGAACCGG